rnacentral:misc_RNA from 1 species
GAUGAAGAACGCAGCGAAAUGCGAUAAGUAGUGUGAAUUGCAGAAUUCAGUGAAUCAUCGAAUCUUUGAACGCACAUUGCGCCCUUCGGUAUUCCGUUGGGCAUGCCUGUUCGAGCGUCAUUUAAACCUUCAAGCUCUGCUUGGUGUUGGGGAUCGGCACAGGCGCCCUCGGGCGCCAGCCGUCCCCUAAAUCUAGUGGCGGUCCCGCUGCAGCCUCCUCUGCGUAGUAGUUUUCUCCUCGCAAGGGCAGCUCGGUGGCGACCUCGCCGUAAAACCCCCAACUUCUGAAAGGUUGACCUCGAAUCAGGUAGGAAUACCCGCUGAACUUAAGCAUAUCAAUAAGCGGAGA